CCAAGUAAAAACUUGGUAUUGAUAUUUAUUAGUCUUAGGGUCCUUUCUCUUGUUAGGGUUCUUAGAUUAAUGAAUAUUGUGUGUCAAGUUUCUAUCUCUUUCUUUGUAAAUCUUGUUAACAUUAUGUUGAUGAAUAUAAAAGUCUAGUGAAGCCGUGUGAGGCUCUUUCGAUUCACUAGCAAUAUUGUCUUUGUUGUUAUUGUUGUUAAACUCACUUUUCUAGUUCAAACAAGUGUUGCGAGCCUGGUGAAGCCGUGUGUGGCCAGUUUCGAUUCACUAGCACUUUGUUGUUCAUCUUGUUGUUCUUGUGUUUGUUGGAAUCUCUUGAUACACACUUAGCNNNNNNNNNNNNNNNNNNNNNNNNNNNNNNNNNNNNNNNNNNNNNNNNNNNNNNNNNNNNNNNNNNNNAAAAAAAAAACCUUGGAAGUGACCAUUGUGGUGUAUUGUUGUUGUGUUCUUGAAGGUGUUGAUGUUGUGUUCAUCCUAAACUUCUCCUCAUCUUAUGUCUUAACUUCUAUAAAGAUAAAUAGGUCCAAAAAGGUUGUAAGACAAAAUUGAAAAUUGUUUGUUAGAAGACUUGCCAACAUCACCUUUUCAAGACUUGACAACCACUUUUCCUUAAAACAAGGAACCUUGUCUUGUGGGACUAGUGAGGUCAAACAUCACCUUUUGAGUUUGAAAAAAAAAAGAAAAAAAAAGGGGGUUUGAAAAAUGUUACAACACUUUAUGUUUUCCAUCCCAAUAACAAGUCAUCCAUUACAAAAGAUCUAAGGGGACUAAGACUUCAAGUUGAUGAACUAUUUAUGUGGACCCACAGCCAUUGACAUGCUGCCAUGUCACCCUAGUUACUAUUCACAUGAUAAUUAAGCUCAAAUUUGGAUGUUCUAGUUUCUAAUUAUUGAUUCCUAGUUUCCUCUAAUUGACUUGAGAACUAAUUAACAAACUAGUACAUUCCUACUAGCUUGUCAAUUAGUCACUUGAAGCCUUGUGUUCAUGUCAACGUUUGAUUGUGUGCUUUUAUCGUUUGAAUACGUUGUAAAUCUUGGAUAUAGUCCGACGAGAAUUCUUUUAGUUUCAAACAAGAAUCUAUUUUGGGCAAGAGCAUACUCAUACCUUACGGAUUCACGGGUUCCUAGCCAAUCUACAACACUUGUGGAACUUGAGUGUGAGUGAACCAAGAGAGUGUGAGUGAGGAGAGGGAUUUUAAACUAACUUGUUUGUUGCUUGAGUAGGUGAUACCUUGAUAAUGGAGGGAACCAUAUCUCAAACCGUGGAUUCUAAUGAAAUGGAGAAUAUGAGGGUCACUCUUGAGGCUAUGACCCGAGCUCUUGAAAGGUUGAGUAUGGAAAUGAGAGCCAUAAGGGGAGAAGUGACAGCUAUUAGUGGGAGGUUAGAACAAGUGGAGAGUCAAAGGAACUCUCCUCCUUCUACUCCUCGACAUGUUUCAUCAAGUGGACAUGAUAGAAAUUCCUUCGCCACCGUUACUCCCGAAAUAUGGCUACAAUUGCCAAAUCCUUCACUAGCCCCACUAAAUGCCGUAAGCCAAACCACUUAUAACCCUCUAAAAUGAGACUCCAAUAGACCAAACCAUUCCCAAAUGUCUCAAGUUCCGCAAGAGGUACUCAGACGUCAAAUGCCUCUACAAAAUCCGAACCCCCCUUCCAAGCUCCACUAAACCAAAGACCACCACCUCCAUAAAAUCCAAUUCCUCCAAAUCAAGUUCCAAAUGUCCAAAAUCAUCCCGUCCACCUUGAGGAAUAUGGUAGAGAGGAUUAUGAAGGGUAUGGAUCCUUUGACGAUGCCUAUAUAAGGGAGGAAGAGAUGAGAGGGGGUCGUGUGGAUCCAAGGAGAUACCUAGGGUAUGGAGAAAGGGGAAACCAACACCUAGAGAGAGACGUAGGCAUCAAUACCAUCAAAUUGAGCCUACCUAUCUUUAAGGGUGAAAGUGACCCCAAGGUGUAUCUUGCUUGGGAGUCGGCGUAUGAUAAAGUGUUUCAAGUGAAUGAUAUCUUGGAGGAGAAGAAGAUUUGUUAUGCCAUGGCUCAUUUUGAAGGCUAUGCUAACACUUGGUGGGAAUACGUCAAGCGAUUCAGAAACGAGUUGGUAGAGGGACAACCACCACCAUGGUUUUAGUUGAGAUACCUAAUGAGGCAACGGUAUCUUCCUGAAAGUUAUCAUCAUGAUUUUCUUGCUAGGUUGUACAAAUUGCAACAAGGGAAUCGAAGUGUUAUGGCAUACUAUGAUGAGUUUCAACAACUCAUGUUGAAGCUUGAUCAUAGGGGAGAACAAAUUGGCCAUGACAUAAUUUGCUUUAAGUAUGGGUUGAACAAAGCGAUCUCCACUCAUUUAAUGCUUCACAAGUUUGAUGCCGUUGAAGGGAUUUUCCAAGCAGCUCUUGAGAUUGAAAUGGAGCUUAAAGAGAGGUCGUCGUUCAAGGCAAAGGGACCAUCAACCUCGAGUUGGAUAAGGAGCAAAGAUAUGGUUCAACCAUCUUUGGGUUGGCCCAAAAACAAGGACUAACCCACUACUACAAGGCUGUCCGAGCCUAAAACAGUCCAUAAAUUUCCUCCCCGAGAAGAAGGUCACAAGUAUCCUAAUCCUAAGGGGUUCCAAUAUUUCAAGUGCCAAGGUUGGGGACAUAAAGCCAAUGAAUAUCCAAACCGGCGCAAUGUGAUCCUAAGGUAAGGGAGAUUGUAUUACCUUGGUGAGGAAGUGGGUCUUGAAAAGGAAGAGAAUGAGGCCGAGCCUCAAGAUUGAGAGAAACCCAAAAAUGAGACACAUGAUGAUGAUGAUUGUGAGGAUGAUUAUCCGCAAGAAGGGGAGUGCAUGGUUCCAAACUUUGUAGUGAGGAGUGCUAUGAUUAGUAAAGCGAUAGAUAACCCUAGCCAAUGGGAGAAUUUAUUCCAUACUAAAUGUCUUGUGAAGGAAAGUGUGUGUACUAUGGUGAUAGAUAGUGGAAGUUGUGCGAAUGUGGUUAGAUUUGCAAUGGUUAACUUCGUGAAGUUGCCGACUACACCUCACACUAGUCCUUACAAGUUGCAAUGGUUGAAUGAAUGCGGCGAUCUAAAGGUCACAAGGCAAUGUAUGAUACGUUUUAAGGUAGCCAACUACCAUGACGAGGUGCUUUGUGAUGUGAUACCAAUGCAAGCUUGUCACUUGUUGUUAGGAAGGCCUUGGCAAUACGAUAGGUCGACCAAAUAUGGUGGAAGGUCCAAUCGGUAAACACUUGAGAAGGAUGGCUAAAAGGUCGCUCUUCAUCCAUUAUUGCCUUCCCAAGUGAAUGAAUUAUACCAAAAGAUAUGAGAAUUGGGGGAAAGGGGAAAGAAGGCCGAGAGUAAGGGAAAAAGAGGGGAACCCAAGAGUGAGGGAGUAGGGGAAACUGAGGGGCUCCUAAUUUCUAAGGGGCAAGGAAGUGUGGUGAUGAUGGCUAGGAGGAAAGAAUUAUUUAUGGAUCAUGACAAGGACAUUCCGAUGCUCCUCUUGGCUCAUUGUUUUAACACUAACGCCCCUAACAUUUCCAUUUAUCCUCCUAUUUCUCAUAUUUUGCAGGAUUACGAGGAUGUCUUCCUAUAGGAAUUACCGAAAGGAUUGCCCCUACUUUGGGGAAUUGAGCACCAAUAGAUUUUGUGCUGAGUUCACAAUUGCCCAAGAAACCGGCUUAUAGGAGCAACCUGAUGGAUACCAAGGAAUUGCAACGCCAAGUUGAGGAACUUCUCAACAAAGGAUAUAUCAAGGAGAGUAUGAGACCUUGUGUGGUUCUGUUACUACUAGUUCCUAAGAAAGAUGGGACUUGGCGUAUGUGCGUUGAUUGCCGAGCCAUCAAUAAGAUAACGGUAAAAUAUCGUCACCCUAUUCCUAGACUAGAUGAUAUGCUUAAUGAAUUGAGUGGUUCGUGUUUGUUUUCUAAAAUUGAUUUGAGGAGUGGCUAUCACCAAAUUCGUAUGCAACUGGAUGAUGAAUGGAAAACUACCUUCAAGACCAAAUUCAGUCUCUAUGAAUGGAUGGUUAUGCAUUCAACCUAACAAACGCUCCAAGUACUUUCAUGAGGCUAAUAAAUCAUGUGAUGAAGUCAUUUAUCAGAAAGUUUAUUGUUGUUUAUUUUGAUGAUGUAUUGGUGUAUAGUAAGUCCUUAGAUGAGCAUAUAAAGCAUUUACAAUGUGUGUUUGAUGUCCUCCGAAAGGAGAAGUUAUAUGAUAAUCUAGAAAAGUGUUCUUUUGGUGUCCAUGAGGUUGUAUUUCUUGGGUUUAUGGUGAGCUCAAGAGGGUUUGAAGUGGAUGAAUCUAAGAUUAACGCCAUUAAAAAUUGGCCAACUCCCAAAACCGUAGGUGAAGUGAGAAGCUUCCAUGGGUUGGCUAGUUUUUAUAGACGUUUUGUCAAAGGAUUUAACACCAUUUCCGCCCCCUUGACCGAAGUGAUUAAAAAGGAUCGGCCUUUCAAGUAGGGAAAUGAACNNNNNNNNNNNNNNNNNNNNNNNNNNNNNNNNNNNNNNNNNNNNNNNNNNNNNNNNNNNNNNNNNNNNNNNNNNNNNNNNNNNNNNNNNNNNNNNNNNNNNNNNNNNNNNNNNNNNNNNNNNNNNNNNNNNNNNNNNNNNNNNNNNNNNNNNNNNNNNNNNNNNNNNNNNNNNNNNNNNGGCACAAGACAAGCUUAACCGGCGGCAUGCCAAAUGGAUUGAAUUUCUUGAAACUUUCCCUUAUGUUAUUCAAUACAAGAAGGGUAAAGACAAUGUGGUUGCCGAUGCUUUGUCCCGAAAACAUGUGCUUGUGUCUACUUUGUCGUCUAAGUUGAUGGGGUUUGAAAGCCUCAAGUUUUUAUAUCCCGAGGACCCUCACUUCUCUUCUAUCUAUAGGGAAAGUGAAGAGUUGGAAAGGGAUAGGUGGGUUACGGAUAAGGGUUCCCAUCCCUAUACCAAAUUUGAUGGAUACUUGUUUAAAGGUAGACAAUUGUGUGUUCCCUCAAGUUUGUGGAGAGAAUUAUUUGUGAGGGAAGCAGCCAAUAGCAGUCUAAUGGGCCAUUUUGGGGUCGAGAAGACCCUCAGAAUUUUGGAAGAACAAUUUUAUUGGCCUAGAAUGCACAAGGAUGUGUCCCAGAUUUUCGGCCAAUGUGUUGAGUGCAAAGGAUCCAAGUCAUGGCUCCAACCCCAUGGGUUAAAUACCCUAUUGUCCACCCCUUUGCGUCCUUGUCUUGACAUAUCAAUGGACUUCGUAUUGGGAUUGCCGAGGAGUAGAAGGGGGUGGGAUAGUAUUUUUGUCGUGGUGGAUCGGUUUUCCAAGAUGGCUCAUUUUAUUCCUUAUUCUAAAUGUGAUGAUGCGCCUAGCGUAGCCUCUUUGUUUGUUGAUAAUGUUGUAAAACUUCAUCGAUUUCCGAGGACCAUAGUGAGUGAUAGGGAUUCUAAAUUCCUAAGCCACUUUUGGAAGUCCAUGUGGGGUAGACUCGGUACUAAGUUAUUGUUUUCGACUUCAUGCCACCCACAAACCGAUGUCUAAACGAAAGUAGUAAAUAGGACCUUAUGGUCUAUGCUACAGUCCAUGGUUAAAGGAAAAAUGACCUCUUGGGAGGAGCACUUACCGUUGAUUGAGUUUGCUUCUAAUCGUGUUAUACACUCGAGCAUGGGGAUGGCACCCUUUAAGUGUGUAUAUGGCAUCAACCCCCUCACCCCUUUGGAUUUAACCCCUUUGCCAAGUGAUCUUGUGAUAAGCUUAGAUGGAAGAAAACGGGCCGAGGACAUGAAAAAGCUACAUGAGAAGGUGAGGUUGCGGUUGGAGAAGAAAAACCAAGAAUUUGCGAGGCGAGCCAACAAAGGAAGAAGAAAGCUCAUUCUUGAACUAGGAGAUUGGGUGUGGGUGAACCUAAGGAAGGAUAUAUUCCCGUCUCAAAGGAAUGCUAAGUUGAUGCCACGGGGUGAUGACCCGUUCCAAGUAUUAGAAAGGAUCAACGACAAUGCGUACAAGAUUGAUCUACCCCCGGAAUAUCAAGUGCACAACACUUUCAAUGUGUGUGAUCUGGGUGGAAACGGUGGAGUAUGGCAAUGAUCCGAAUUUGAGGACAAAUUCCCUUCAAGAUGGAGAGGAUGAUACGGGAAUUCCUAGCUCAAGACCUUUCACACGAAGCCAAGCACGUGAGUUGCAACGACUCCAAGCCUUGUUCAAAUUCUUGGCCACGUGUGAGGCCCUUGUGAGCCCAUCUAAGGGCCUAUAUUUAAUAAAAUGUAAGGAGGCCCACCAAGACACCCCAAACCUACCUACUUAAAUGCCAAGGGUAAUUUGGUCUUUGUCCCUCCUUUCUAAGUGACUAUAUAAGCCAUGUAAUAGGGCUAGUCUUGCUUUAGUUCAUUCCUAUUAUUCAAGAAACAAAGACUUGUAAAUUUUUGACUUCUCUUUCUCAUCAUUUGGAGAGGCCAAAACCAAAUUCUCACUAGUAGAGUGAUACUAGUGUUGUAUCUUGGCUAGAAACUAGGUUCUUGAGGUUCUUUGAGUUCCUCUUGGUCCAAGUAAGAACUUGGUAUUGAUAUUUAUUAGUCUUAGGGUCCUUUCUCUUGUUAGGGUUCUUAGAUUAAUGAAUAUUGUGUGUCAAGUUUCUAUCUCUUUCUUUGUAAAUCUUGUUAACAUUGUGUUGUUGAAUAUAAAAGUCUAAUGAAGCCGUGUGGGGCUCUUUCGAUUCACUAGCAAUAUUGUCUUUGUUGUUCUUGUUGUUAAACUCACUUUUCUAGUUCAAACAAGUGUUGCAAGCCUAGUGAAGCCGUGUGUGGCCAUUUUCGAUUCA
rnacentral:lncRNA from 1 species